rnacentral:rRNA from 1 species
GACGAACGCUGGCGGCGUGCCUAAUACAUGCAAGUCGAACGCAGUGGGGGCGGGUGAGUAACACGUGGGUAACCUCCCAUCAGAGGGGAUAACACUUGGCAACAGGUGCUAAACCGAUACUGAUGGAUGGACCCGCGGUGCAUUAGCUAGUUGGGGAGGUAACGGCUCACCAAGGCCACGAUGCCUAGCCGACCUGAGAGGGUGAUCGGCCACACGGGGACUGAGACACGGCCCAGACUCCUACGGGCGGCAGCAGUCGGGAAUAUUCGACAAUGGACGAAAGUCUGACCGAGCAAGGCCGCGUGAGUGAAGAAGGCUUUCGGAUCGUAAAACACUGUUAGUAGGGAAGCGGUAUCUAACCAGAAAGCCCCGGCUAACUACGUGCCAGCAGCCGCGGUAAUUC